GCAAAGGAUUCUGGGAACUACACCUGUGGUUUAAAGAGGAACAACGGCACCCUCUCCGCGCCGUACAGCCUGCACGUGGGAGCAGAAGAAGAAGAAACAAAAGCCUUCAACAUGCACCUGGCUGUCCGUCUGCUUAUCUUCACUCUGCAAACUGUUCUCUUCGUCAUAGUAACGUCCAUCGUCAUCAAAAGGACGUGCACUUGCAA